GCCCCUGUAGCUCAGUGGAUAGAGCGCCUGGCUACGAACCAGGAGGCCGCAGGUUCGAAUCCUGCCGGGGGCA
rfam:Micromonospora echinospora strain DSM 43816 genome assembly, chromosome: I